GCGCCGGUAGUGUAAUGGCUUGGAGCAUUCUCGCCCGCUAAGCAUGAGGUGUGGGUUCGAGGCCCGCCUGAUGCU
rnacentral:tRNA from 1 species